GGACUACCCGGGUAUCUAAUCCUGUUUGAUCCCCACGCUUUCGCGCCUCAGCGUCAGUCUUGGUCCAGGAAGUCGCCUUCGCCACUGGUGUUCCUUCCGAUAUCUACACAUUUCACCGCUACACCGGAAAUUCCACUUCCCUCUACCAGACUCUAGAUAGGUAGUCUCGAAUGCCAUUCCCAGGUUAAGCCCAGGGCUUUCACACCCGACUUACCCAACCGCCUACGCGCCCUUUACGCCCAGUAAUUCCGAUUAACGCUCGCACCCUCCGUAUUACCGCGGCUGCUGGCAC
rnacentral:rRNA from 1 species